UACGAGGGGGGCGAGCGUUGUUCGGAAUUAUUGGGCGUAAAGGGUGCGUAGGCGGUUUGGUAAGUCGGAUGUGAAAUCUAUGGGCUCAACUCAUAGUCUGCAUCGGAAACUGCCGGGCUUGAGUAUGGGAGAGGUGAGUGGAAUUCCUGGUGUAGCGGUGAAAUGCGUAGAUAUCAGGAGGAACACCUGUGGCGAAAGCGGCUCACUGGACAGUAACUGACGCUGAUGCACGAAAGCUAGGGGAGCAAACAGG
rnacentral:rRNA from 1 species